rnacentral:rRNA from 1 species
CCAAUAGCGUAUAUUAAAGUUGUUGCAGUUAAAAAGCUCGUAGUUGAAUUUCGGGAUUAACGUGACGGUCGUGCCUUAAGGGGUAUGAACUGUUACAGUUAAUUUCUCACCUUCUGGAGAAAUAUGAUGUCCUUAAUUGGGUGUCAUAUGGAACCAGGACUUUUACCUUGAAAAAAUUAGAGUGUUUAAAGCAGGCAUAUUGCUCGAAUACAUUAGCAUGGAAUAAUAAAAUAGGACGGCAUGAUUCUAUUUUGUUGGUUUCUAGGAUCACCGUAAUGAUUAAUAGGUAUAGUUGGGGGCAUUAGUAUUCAAUUGUCAGAGGUGAAAUUCUUGGAUUUAUUGAAGACUAACUACUGCGAAAGCAUUUGCCAAGGAUGUUUUCAUUAAUCAAGAACGAAAGUUAGGGGAUCGAAGACGAUCAGAUACCGUCGUAGUCUUAACCAUAAACUAUGCCGACUAGGAAUCAGACGAUGUUAAUUUUUUAAUGACUCGUUUGGCACCUUACG